AUUGAACGCUGGCGGAAUGCUUUACACAUGCAAGUCGAGCGGCAGCGCGGGGCAACCUGGCGGCGAGCGGCGAACGGGUGAGUAAUGCAUCGGAACAUGUCCAUGUCGUGGGGGAUAGCCCGGCGAAAGCCGGAUUAAUACCGCAUACGCCCGAGAGGGGAAAGUGGGGGACCGCAAGGCCUCACGCGAUUGGGUUGGCCGAUGUCCGAUUAGCUAGUUGGCGGGGUAAAGGCCCACCAAGGCGAUGAUCGGUAGCUGGUCUGAGAGGAUGAUCAGACGCACUGGGACUGAGACACGGCCCAGACUCCUACGGGAGGCAGCAGUGGGGAAUUUUGGACAAUGGGGCAACCCUGAUCCAUCCAUUCCGCGUGAGUGAAGAAGGCCUUCGGGUUGUAAAGCUCUUUUGUCCGGAACGAAACGGAUGGCGUUAAUAGCGUCGUCUACUGACGGUACCGGAAGAAUAAGCACCGGCUAACUACGUGCCAGCCGCCGCCGUAACAC
rnacentral:rRNA from 1 species